UCACGUUACGCGUGUUGAGAGAGAGAACGAGAGAAAGAACAGUAGAGAAAAAAAGGGGGUCGAGGCCGGCGGGCCGAUGUGUUGCCGGUUCGCUUGCCGCCGUUCGUUGUCCGAGGGCCGUCGCCGGCCGAUCUUCAUGGGUGUUGGAUGGGACCGGAAGUCGCGAGAGUUGCUGUGAUGGAGGACCUUGUGGUUGUCGACUUGUGUCCGGAUCUCAAGGGGGAAGAGCUACCAUCAAGCGAGGCAGAUGUGGGAUGCUCAGAACUCCCCCGGGAACGAAAUGGGUUGGCGAGGGGCGGGAUUGUUUCCUUAGGUGUCAGAAUCUUUGCAAGGAUUUUGAGCUAUAUAAUAAGACUGAUAAGGAAUUGAGUGUCUAUUUGGACAAAGGCACAUAAGAAGAAGAAUGGUGAACCUAUCAAUUCAACUGCCGGUGAAGUCAUUGAAAAUCUUGAAAAAAGUUAACAAGAUCCAACAUUGUCUGCCGAUGAAAUUGAUAUGCUAAAUAGUAUUCUAGCUUCUAACUUUGGUCUCGAUCGGAAUGGACAUAUGAGAGUAAUGGGUCUUGGGAUGACCAGGACAAAAUAUUCUAUUUUAUCAAAAUGGGAUGACCACUUGUCUCUUUUACAAGAGAAAUAUUUACGAAUGGAGGAGGAUGUAAGAGAUCUGAAAGAGAUGCUUUAUCUAUUAUUGCAAAAUCAAGCAAUGAAGAAUUAUGGCUCUCCUCCUUUCUACUAAAGAUUCCAAUCAAGUGGCCUAAGAGCAUAGAUGAGGUUUUGUGCAGAAAUGAGUUUGAUGAAGUCAGUUAAUAGAAAGCUGAAGGAUGAGAUUGCAAAGUUGAACGAUCAAUUGCGAGAUCAGAUUUCUGUAUCAAGCAGCAGCUGUUUGAAUGCUCGGAUUAAUGCUUGGUGUUUUGGGGACAAAGAGGCUCCCUUACCCAAGUAGAUCUUUCGAGCUCGCGCAUUGUUCCCGAUGUAGGAUAGAGAUGAGUGCGCUUGUGGAGCGCAUGUGUUGGAAAAUAGCUGCUAAAAGGAACCAGGAGUCAUAUCUUUUGUGUAGAGUAAAAGAGUCCUAGCAGUAAAGAUGUGUGGGUGAUGAAUGUGGUGCCAGUAUUUGUACAUUAGAAGCACAGGAAUCCUUUUACUGGAAGCUCUGGAUUCUUUGCCAUCCAUGCUCUCGACCGAAGUAAUCAACUCGAGUCUGUCGUUGCAAGCAGCUGUUACUACCUCAAAUCUCAUGAAGAUAUAAGUGGAAUGAACUUUCUAAUUGCACUUGGAAAAGUAGUAAGUUUCUUACUUACAACCGUUGAUCUCGAGCUUUUGCACACUUGGUUGACUUUUUAUGUUUUAGUUGAGUUGAUAUGAAAACUGAUCGAGUAUUGUUGCUUGGUCUUGAUUAUGCGGGAAAAGAACUAGACGUUUUGGAUAUUUUGAUAUCUCUAGCUAUUCCUCUGUAUUCUUUACUUGUUUGGAAUGUUAAGCUUUCGGACAAAUGGUCUGACUUAUGUUGUAGACAUCUUAUUGCCAACUUGAUAG